UAUCUCUGUAGAGUCUGCAUAUCAAUAAGCGGAGGAAAAGAAACUAACUAGGAUUCCCUCAGUAACGGCGAGUGAAGCGGGAAGAGCUCAAAUUUGAAAUCUUCAAGGUUUUACCUUGACGAAUUGUAGUUUAAAGAAGCGUUUUCUGUUGGAGUUUUGGUAAAAGUUCUUUGGAAUAGGACAUCAUAGAGGGUGAGAAUCCCGUAUUUGACCAUGACUUUCCAGCUGUGUGAUACACUUUCAAAGAGUCGGAUUGUUUGGGAAUGCAGUCCAAAAUGGGUGGUAAAUUUCAUCUAAAGCUAAGUAUUGGCGAGAGACCGAUAGCGAACAAGUACCGUGAGGGAAAGAUGAAAAGAACUUUGAAAAGAGAGUUAAACAGUACGUGAAAUUGUCAAAAGUGAAGCGUUUGACACCAGUGUUGUUUUCUCGAAAAUCAAUUUAAUGGGUUCUUGUUUUUAAGUUAUUGUGACUUUAUCAGCGCAUUUCUUAUUUUACUUGGCUCAUUGAAUGCACUUUUCGUUUAACAAGUCAACAUCAAUUUCUUUGGUGGUAAAAAGUUUAAAGGAAGGUGGCUUGGACUUCGGUUCAAGUGUUUAUAGCCUUUUUUCUAUGCCAUCGGAGAGAUUGAGGUCUGCAGCGUAGAUCCUUCGGGGUUAGAUACUUUAGUGCUAAGUUAUAGUUUUUUAUAGACAACUUGUUGACUAUAAUUAACCCUGUAAUUUACUCGCUAGAGCUAUUUUACCUACGCUUAGGAUGUUGAGUCAUCACACAUCUCU
rnacentral:rRNA from 1 species